rnacentral:rRNA from 1 species
CCUUGGUGAUUCAUAAUAACUCAACGAAUCGCGUGGCCUUGCGCCGGCGAUGGUUCAUUCAAAUUUCUGCCCUAUCAACUUUCGAUGGUAGGAUAGUGGCCUACCAUGGUAUCAACGGGUAACGGGGAAUUAGGGUUCGAUUCCGGAGAGGGAGCCUGAGAAACGGCUACCACAUCCAAGGAAGGCAGCAGGCGCGCAAAUUACCCAAUCCCGACACGGGGAGGUAGUGACAAUAAAUACUGAUACAGGGCUCUUUUGGGUCUUGUAAUUGGAAUGAGUACAAUUUAAAUCCCUUAACGAGGAACAAUUGGAGGGCAAGUCUGGUGCCAGCAGCCGCGGUAAUUCCAGCUCCAAUAGCGUAUAUUAAAGUUGUUGCAGUUAAAAAGCUCGUAGUUGAACCUUGGGCCUGGCUGGCCGGUCCGCCUCACCGCGUGUACUGGUCCGGCCGGGCCUUUCCUUCUGGGGAUCCGCAUGCCCUUCACUGGGUGUGUCGGGGAACCAGGACUUUUACUUUGAAAAAAUUAGAGUGUUCAAAGCAGGCCUUUGCUCGAAUACAUUAGCAUGGAAUAAUAGAAUAGGACGUGCGUCUCUAUUUUGUUGGUUUCUAGGGACGCCGUAAUGAUUAAUAGGGACAGUCGGGGGCAUCAGUAUUCAAUUGUCAGAGGUGAAAUUCUUGGAUUUAUUGAAGACUAACUACUGCGAAAGCAUUUGCCAAGGAUGUUUUCAUUAAUCAGUGAACGAAAGUUAGGGGAUCGAAGACGAUCAGAUACCGUCGUAGUCUUAACCAUAAACUAUGCCGACUAGGGAUCGGGCGAUGUUAUUAUCUUGACUCGCUCGGCACCUUACGAGAAAUCAAAGUCUUUGGGUUCUGGGGGGAGUA